rnacentral:lncRNA from 1 species
GGGAUAGAUGUGAGGCAAGGCCAGUCCCAGGUCGGAGGUGUGGGGGUGGGGACUGUGCCCUUUCCCCUUGUUGCUGGUGGUGUAUCCCUUAAUGUGUGUUUGGAGCGCGAACCCCAAUUGCAGAGUGUGGCAAAAGCAAGGGCUCCAGCUGAAGGGAGGGGUGGAGGAAGGAGGUGUGUGGAAGAGCUGCGCAGGCCCAGAGUAAAAGGCAGGCCAGGAGGCUUGGAGCGCAGGCGCUCAGGGGCAGGCAGGUGGCACGCAGGCGCAGUAGGGGCAGGCAGGUGGCACGUGGCGGAGGGGGAGGGGAGCGGAAAGUUCCCGCCUUUUCUGUCAGAGCCUCCCUGUGUCGCUGUGCCUAGCAUUAAGGUCCGCCAAGGCAAAAGACUGGAAGUUGCAUGUGGACUGUGUGAGGUUUUCUCCCUCCCCUUGCCUUCCUUCCUGCUUUCUUCCCUCCCUGGUGAAAUGAAGGUCCCCUCAUGAAGGUGCUUCUGGAAGGUUUUCUCCCUGCCCUUGCCUUCCUUCCUGCUUUCUUCCCUCCCUGGUGAAAUGAAGGUCCCAUCAUGAAGGUGCUUCUGGAAGGUAAGUCUAAUGAAUCUAUUUCCACUCACCUUACUGGUAGUGGUGGAUGCCAGCCUCUUGUCAGCA